rnacentral:rRNA from 1 species
ACAAGCGGUGGAGCAUGUGGUUUAAUCGAAGCAACGCGAAGAACCUUACCAGGUCUUGACAUCCCCUGACAACCCGAGAGAUCGGGCGUUCCCCUUCGGGGGGACAGGGUGACAGGUGGUGCAUGGUUGUCGUCAGCUCGUGUCGUGAGAUGUUGGGUUAAGUCCCGCAACGAGCGCAACCCUCGACCUUAGUUGCCAGCAUUCAGUUGGGCACUCUAAGGUGACUGCCGGCUAAAAGUCGGAGGAAGUGGGGAUGACGUCAAAUCAUCAUGCCCCUUAUGACCUGGGCUACACACGUGCUACAAUGGGCGGUACAAAGGGUCGCGAACCCGCGAGGGGGAGCCAAUCCCAAAAAGCCGCUCUCAGUUCGGAUUGCAGGCUGCAACUCGCCUGCAUGAAGCCGGAAUCGCUAGUAAUCGCGGAUCAGCAUGCCGCGGUGAAUACGUUCCCGGGCCUU